rnacentral:lncRNA from 1 species
AUUGCAUUUAAAAUGUUUUGUUUUAGCAAGUUUUCCAUGAUACUAUGUGAUAAGAGGAAGAGUGGUGCCAUGUAAUUAUUUCCAGGUGGAAGUGGAAAUCUGAUUCUCUGGCCAGUCUCUGUUGUCAGUGCAGUGAAGAGGCUUACCUCAUUGCUGGGUGGGUGCUGAAUUUUAGCUCCCCACUAGGCCUCUGGUGGCACCACUCUAGCAACAGGGGAAGGGAUACCUCAUUACUAUUCAGAGGGUGUGGAAAUCUAGGCUCACCAUGUGCUCGCUACUGAUAGAAGAUUGUUGACAGCUAGAAGGAUUGGAAGUCCAAUCCACACUUGGCUUUCUCUGGUAUUAUCCCAGGGUUAGAUUGGUGGGGGUAUUGUAUGUGUACUAGGGGGUGGUGCUUGCUAUACUGGGGUGAUGAGGGUUGAACUCUAGGCUUCCUGCUCAGCCUUUGAUGAUGGGUAAGGAUCACAGUUUUUCCCAUGGUGUUAGGCUGGAAUAGUGUAAUUAUAUUGUGUCAAAGUUGUAUGUCUUACUGGGCUUCCCUUUCCUGGUCCCUUAUGUACAGAAAGUAGGCUUUCCUUAGGGCUUUUCUAUUUGUGUUUUUUUUUUGGUAUUUUCAAGGUGUAGGCUUCUCUAUGACCCAGUCCAAACAUAUAAGGCAAAAAUAGAACAUAAUGAACUUAAUUCUGUAUUAUUUCUUAGAUCUCAAAAUCUUUAGUUGCCCUUUCUUCUUCUCUCUACUUUUCAGUUUUUGUCUUCUCUACUUUUCAGAGUCCCUUUUUGUUUCAUUAAUAUACAAUGUGCAGGGGUUUUAGGUAUAACCAGAAGAAUAUAGAGAAGUGUAUCUACUCUAUGCCAUCCAGACCUAGAAGUCCUAUUUAUAAAUGCUGUUUUGAAUUUCUAUUUUUGUAUAUAUUUUACAGCAAUCAUAAAUCAUUAAUAUAAUUAUGCAUGUGUUAAAUUACAAGUAAAUAUAUAAAUACAUAUAUAGAGGGUACAUGCUCUGUUUUUUUCAAUUAGAGUACAUAGCCAAAUGCCAAUUGCAGACUAUUGGUGUAAUGAAAGCACUUGUGACUCACUUAUUGGCCUGAUUCUUCUACUAACUUAUAAUUUGGAGUUACUUGUUACACCUCCAAAGUGAAUCUGUUGCCUAAGAAUAUCUGUAAUACCACAUCUACCUCUAAAAAUUCUGCAAGUAAGACCAGCCAAUAUCCCUUCUAAAAGAUAUAAAAUGACACAUGAACAUUGUUUCCCUUAUUUAUAUUUUAUUUAAAGCACUUUUUAAAUCCUAAAAAUUAUUCAUUCUCUCAAGGAUAAAUUUUUAUCCAAUUUGUAAAUAAAGCAACAAUCAAGAUGGAUGUCAUACAUUUAAUUGUUAUGCAAAAACAGUAAAAUUGAUUUGAUUAGAAAGAAUAUUAUUCUGUUCACUAGAUUAUCUUUUAAUUUUGUUGAUGAUUUCCUUUGCUGUGCAAAAGGUUUUAAGUUUAAUUAGGUCCCAUUUGUUUAUUUUUGCUUUUUUUCCCCUUUGCUUUGGGAGUCAGAUCCAAAAAAACAUCACUGUAAUUUAUGUCAGAGUGUUCUGCCUAAGUUUUCUUCCAGGGGUUAUCCAGUCUUACAUUUAGAUCUUUAAACCAUUUUGUAUAUGGUAUUUGAGAAUGUUCUAAUUUCAUUCUUAAACAUCCAGUUUGCCCAUCACUACUUACUGAAGACACUGUCUUUUCUCCAUUGCAUGUUUUUACCUCUCUUAUUGUAGAUUAGUUGAUCGUAAAUGUGUGGAUUUAUUUCUGGAAUUUCUGUUCUGUUCCAUUGAUCUAUGUGUCUGUUUUUGUGCCAGUACCAUAUUGUUUUGAUGACUGGAGCUUUGUAGUAUAGUCUGAAGACAAGGAGUGGGAUUUCCUCCAGCUUCUGAUAUUUGCAAAUGAUAUGACUAAUAAGAAGUUAACAUCUAAUAUAUAUAUAAACAUCUCAUACAACUCGACAUCAAAAAAACCAAACAACCCAGUCAGAAAACUUACAGAAGAACUAAGUAGACAUUUUUCCAAAGAGGAAAUGCACAUGAACAACAAGCACAUGAAAAGAUGCUCAACAUUGCUAAUCUCAGGGAAAUGCAAAUCAGAACCACAAUGAGAUAUCACCUCAAACUGAUCGGAAUGGCUGUCAUCAAAAAGAACACAAAUAGGGAGCUCCCAAGGUACAGAGGAAAUGAAUCAGACUAGUAUCCAUGAGGAUUCAGGUUUGAUCCCCUGGUCUUGCUCAGUGGGUCAGGAAUCUGGUGUUGCUGUGAGCUGUGGUGUAGAUCGCAGACUUGGCUCAGAUCCCACAUUGCUGUGGCUGUGGUGUAGGCCAGCAGCUAUAGCUCCAAUUCAACUUCUAGCCUGGAAACUUCAUAUGCCAUGGUGCAGCGCUUAAAACAAAAGCAAAAACAAAACAAAACAAAACAAAAAAACAAAACACACACACACAAAUAACAAAUGGUGUGGAGAAAAGGGAAUCCUAGCACGCUGUUGGUGGGAAUAUAAAUUGGUGCAGCCACUGUGGAAAACAGUAUGGAGGGUUUUAAAAAAGCUAAAAACAGGACAAUCGUAUGACCCAGCAAUUCCACUCCUGAGUAUGUAUCCAAAAAAACUCCAAACACUAAAUCAAAAGGGUGAAUUUCACUGCAGUGUUCCUAGCAGCAUUAUUUAUAAUUGUCAAGGUAUGGAAGCAAUCUAAGUGUCCAUCAACAGAUGGAUAGAUAAAGAAUACACACAUGCAAUUGAAUACUACUCAGGUACAAAAAGAAUGAAUUUUUGCCAUUUGUAGCAGUAUGGAUGGACUUGGAGGGUAUUAUACCAAGUGAAAUAAGUCAGACAGAGGAAGACAAAUAUUAUAUGAUAUAAAUUAUAUGUGGAAUCUAAAAAAUACAGCAAACUAGUGAAUAAAGAAAAAGAAGCAGAUUGGUAGACACAGAGAAAAAAAAAGUAGUGGUUACCAGUAGGGAGAGGGAAGAAGGGAGAGAGAAAUAGAGGUAGGGGGAAAAAGGGUUAUUAUGGGGUUAUAUAAAAUCAUGUGUGUCAAAGUUUUGAAAAUUGUAAAUCACUAUGGAAUUUAAAAUGUCUUCCAUU